rnacentral:rRNA from 1 species
AUUGAACGCUGGCGGCAGGCCUAACACAUGCAAGUCGAACGGUAACAGGAAGAAGCUCGCUUCUUUGCUGACGAGUGGCGGACGGGUGAGUAAUGUCUGGGAAACUGCCUGAUGGAGGGGGAUAACUACUGGAAACGGUAGCUAAUACCGCAUAACGUCGCAAGACCAAAGAGGGGGACCUUCGGGCCUCUUGCCAUCGGAUGUGCCCAGAUGGGAUUAGCUAGUAGGUGGGGUAACGGCUCACCUAGGCGACGAUCCCUAGCUGGUCUGAGAGGAUGACCAGCCACACUGGAACUGAGGCACGGUCCAGACUCCUACGGGAGGCAGCAGUGGGGAAUAUUGCACAAUGGGCGCAAGCCUGAUGCAGCCAUGCCGCGUGUAUGAAGAAGGCCUUCGGGUUGUAAAGUACUUUCAGCGGGGAGGAAGGGAGUAAAGUUAAUACCUUUGCUCAUUGACGUUACCCGCAGAAGAAGCACCGGCUAACUCCGUG